rnacentral:misc_RNA from 1 species
GAUGAAGAACGUAGCGAAAUGCGAUAAGUAAUGUGAAUUGCAGAAUUCAGUGAAUCAUCGAAUCUUUGAACGCACAUUGCGCCCAUUAGUAUUCUAGUGGGCAUGCCUGUUCGAGCGUCAUUAAGUCCACUUAAGCCCUGCUUAGUGUUGGGAGACUGCUCCAGCGGUGCUACCCUGUAGCUACCCUGCAGCUCCUCAAAGACAGCGGCGGAGUUGUGGUAUCCUCUGAGCUUAGUAACUUGUUCUAGCUUUCGAUUACACCACUUCCCCUGCCGUAAAACCCUUAAUUUUUAAUGGUUGACCUCGGAUCAGGUAGGAAUACCCGCUGAACUUAAGCAUAUCAAUAAGCGGAGGA